rnacentral:lncRNA from 10 species
ACCGCGCCCGUGCGUCUGCGCGCCUGGCCGCCAGGUGACCCAGCAGCCCGGCCGCCGAGAUGCCCAACCCGCCCAGGCUCCGGGCGCUGUGACUUCGCGCCGCUGUGUGCGCCUCCCCGAGCGCCGGCUGCGCCCCCCAGCCCGGCCCGGGGCCUACCGCCUGCCCGGCCCCCUGCCACUGCCAGGAGGACGGCAUCAUGCUGUCUGCCGACUGCUCUUGAGCUUGGGCUGUCCGCCAUACCGGGGGACCUGGAUCCCCUGACGGCUUACCUAGCAGUGCCCAGGAUGGUGGCUGAGGGUAAAGCUGACAGAACUGGAGGUGGAGGUGAGGGGAGCGUGCCCCAGUGGGGUGGAAAUAAUGUCUGUUCUUCUGCCAUGGCUGCUCAGGACCGAGGCUGAGACGGGCGACCAGGACGGGAUUGUAUGGCUGCAGGAGGCUACACAGUCCCAGGAGGCUGCUUCUAAGAGGCCCACGUGGCCUGCAUGGGGAUGCGCCUGGCUGUCCAGCAUGUGGUCAUUUGAAUUGUACAUGUUUCACUGGGAUGCCUACAGAAAAGUAGACAGAAGAUGUGGAAAAAGUUUUUGAAAUGUUGCAAACUUAGCUACUUUUAAAAUAAAAAAAAUAGCUUUAUAAUUAUAAAAGCAAUAUGUAAAUCUUAAAAUAAUUUGCUACAUUCUAGUAAGCAUCUUAUGAUCUCUAUGUGCCCUAUAACAUUAUGUUGUAUAGUUUAAAUAUAUACAAUAAAAUCUAUUUUAAAAAAUA